CAUUGAGGCAAGCUAUUGGUUUAGAUAACCUUCUGUACACUCCAGAUGCUGAUUUUUCUUGUUUUGCGGACCUAGCACUCACCUCUCCAGAAGAUUACUAUAUUGAAGGGCAAGGUUCAUUGCUCCAGUGUGUUCUUACACCAGGUGAUCCAUACAUGCCCUUGCCAAAUGAUGAAAUCAUAAAGAGAGUCUCAAAGCAGGUUUUGACUUUAUUUCCAUCAUCCCAAGGCUUAGAAGUUAUCUGGUCAUCCGUAGUAAAAAUCGGGCAAUCCUUAUACCUUGAGGGACCUGGCAAAGAUCCCUUCAGACCAGAUCAAAAGACACCUGUGAAAAAUUUCUUCCUUGCUGGCUCUUACACAAAACAGGAUUACAUAGACAGCAUGGAAGGAGCAACUUUAUCUGGCAGACAGGCUUCAGCAUAUAUAUGUGAUGCUGGCGAAGACUUAGUAGCAUUAAGGAAGAAGCUUGCUGGUACAGAAUCUCCAGAAAACAGAGAGUCCGCUCCUAUUACUGAUGAGCUAAGUCUUGUAUGAUAUAUAGCUGGUAAUGGCCUCCUUUUCUUACUUUUGUAAUUCAAAUGAAAUUAUAUUACCAAU
rnacentral:misc_RNA from 1 species